rnacentral:rRNA from 1 species
GACGAACGCUGGCGGCGUGCUUAACACAUGCAAGUCGAACGCUGAAGCUCAGCUUUUGUUGGGUGGAUGAGUGGCGAACGGGUGAGUAACACGUGAGUAACCUGCCUCCUUCUUUGGGAUAACGCCCGGAAACGGGUGCUAAUACUGGAUAUUCACUGGUCUUCGCAUGGGGGUUGGUGGAAAGGGUUUUUCUGGUGGGGGAUGGGCUCGCGGCCUAUCAGCUUGUUGGUGGGGUGAUGGCCUACCAAGGCUUUGACGGGUAGCCGGCCUGAGAGGGUGACCGGUCACAUUGGGACUGAGAUACGGCCCAGACUCCUACGGGAGGCGGCAGUGGGGAAUAUUGCACAAUGGGCGCAAGCCUGAUGCAGCGACGCCGCGUGAGGGAUGGAGGCCUUCGGGUUGUGAACCUCUUUCGCUCAUGGUCAAGCCGCAACAAUGGUUGUGGUGAGGGUAGUGGGUAAAGAAGCGCCGGCUAACUACGUG